GACAGAGGGUGCAAACGUUGCUCGGAAUCACUGGGCGUAAAGGGCGCGUAGGCGGCGGGGUAAGUCUGGUGUGAAAUCUAGGAGCUCAACUCCUAAACUGCACUGGAUACUGCUCUGCUAGAGGACUGGAGAGGAGACUGGAAUUCACGGUGUAGCAGUGAAAUGCGUAGAUAUCGUGAGGAAGACCAGUGGCGAAGGCGGGUCUCUGGACAGUUCCUGACGCUGAGGCGCGAAGGCCAGGGGAGCAAACGGG
rnacentral:rRNA from 1 species